UACGUAGGGUGCGAGCGUUAAUCGGAAUUACUGGGCGUAAAGCGUGCGCAGGCGGUUAUGUAAGACAGAUGUGAAAUGCCCGGGCUUAACCUGGGAACUGCAUUUGUGACUGCAUGGCUAGAGUUUGGCAGAGGGGGGUAGAAUUCCACGUGUAGCAGUGAAAUGCGUAGAUAUGUGGAGGAACACCGAUGGCGAAGGCAGCCCCCUGGGUCAAGACUGACGCUCAUGCACGAAAGCGUGGGGAGCAAACAGGAUUAG
rnacentral:rRNA from 1 species